CUUUUUUAAACAACUAAGCAAGUGUGAAAUGGUUGGUGGCGGAGGACACGCUUCCUCCAAGGUGUCGGGGUUGAUUGUAUCGAUUGCGUUAUCAGUUUAGGUAGUAUCUGGCCCAGACACUUGAGCCUGUUUUUUAAAAUUCAGCCUUAAAACCUGAAGCCUGGUUAGCUGAACCUGCCUGUACAAGAAGAUUUAAGAAAUACGAUGCAUUAGGUAUUCCAAAAGCUGCUUUGUUGCUUGUACAGCGGACAAUGUUUGCGGCACUUCAUAAUUCUGCUUUUGUUGCUAAAAUAAUAUUGGGCUUCAGUUCUUUUGUGAACUUGACUGCAUCUAGUGAACCAGAACUGCUCUGGGGAGUCGCUGAAGUAGCGAUAAUCUCUGGGCUUUGCCGACGAUCCCAAAAGGAAGGCUUUUGUGAUCCACACAAGCAGGCUUGAAGCAACCCACGUCUUUCUGUAGCUGUAAUCUCAGCUGUGAAUCUGUCGCUUUCCUAGCCGCAUCAGAGGGGCAUUGAAGCUUUGGAGUUCAUAAAUGAAUGGUAUGAGUAGGCAUCUACACACCUCUUGCUUGAUGGCCAUUAUAAAAGCACCUUUAAUAAGGUUCAUGAGACAA
rnacentral:lncRNA from 1 species